CACUAAUACAUUUAAUGUGUUGACUGAAGCUGUACCCAAAUAUGAAGGUAAUUUGAGCAUAGCAAUUAAUUUGAAUCUGUAUAUUCUGUUCUUUUAGCGAACUGGACAGGACUCAGCAUUCAAAGAUUGUGGUAACCCAGAAGAUGUCAUGAGAGCUACAGGAAAUGACGUGUUUGGAGGAAAAGCCAUGCUUGCUCCAGUCAUCAAGACAACAAGAUCACAGGUAUUAUAUAUUGUGUCUACGUAUUCAUAGGAUUUUAAGAAGAAUUUUUAGGAAGAAUUUAGAUUACUAGUUUCUCGGACUUGAUUCAGCAUAUCUGAGAUUACACUCUAUAUCUUACUACUUCCUGACUCACUACUUGGCCCAGUGCAGAGUGACAUCACUGUUCUGGAGUUUCCCUGGAUGUGGCAGAAGUUUGAUACUACCCUCAGAUUAUGCAGAUUAGUUUUCAGCUAUUUUAAAUAAAGAC
rnacentral:lncRNA from 1 species